GGGCCCGCACAAGCGGCGGAGCAUGCGGAUUAAUUCGAUGCAACGCGAAGAACCUUACCAAGGCUUGACAUGUUCCCGACCGCCACAGAGAUGUGGUUUCCCCUUUGGGGCGGGUUCACAGGUGGUGCAUGGUUGUCGUCAGCUCGUGUCGUGAGAUGUUGGGUUAAGUCCCGCAACGAGCGCAACCCUCGUUCCAUGUUGCCAGCGGGUUAUGCCGGGGACUCAUGGGAGACUGCCGGGGUCAACUCGGAGGAAGGUGGGGACGACGUCAAAUCAUCAUGCCCCUUAUGUCUUGGGCUUCACGCAUGCUACAAUGGCCGGUACAAUGGGUUGCGAUACUGUGAGGUGGAGCUAAUCCCAAAAAGCCGGUCUCAGUUCGGAUUGGGGUCUGCAACUCGACCCCAUGAAGUCGGAGUCGCUAGUAAUCGCAGAUCAGCAACGCUGCGGUGAAUACGUUCCCGGGCCUU
rnacentral:rRNA from 1 species